rnacentral:lncRNA from 1 species
UACACUUAAAAGACGUCUAGAUACAUGUAUUAUUUCGACAUUUAAUAUGGGACGGAGAGAGCAAGUGUUUAGUGUCGGCUUCAACAUAACUCCCCUUCUUAUCACGGAUGAUCAUUAGUAGAAGAUGUAACUGGCAUUUGAUUAAUGACAGAAAAAACGCAUUAUUUUUUUCGAAAAGGAGGAUACUUUUUGGAAAAGGACAGUAACCUCCGGUGGAAAAGGCGCCUUUUGAUUAAUAAAAGUCUCAGUUGAUACACAAAAAAGAAAAAACGGAAGCUUAGCUUCCUUGUUACAACCGUAGCAUGCAUGAUGUAUGUCGUGCUAGGAGCAAGCGUUGCACGUUUGCACUUGUUCCUGCCGUAGAAGAAAAGAAAAACAUGGACACGACCCUUAUCUCUUUAUCCUCCGCGGCAUGGGUUAGACUGCUUGCGCAGAUGUGUCACGCAUUAUUGCGAAGCGAACGAGUGUGCUCAGCCCUGGUUUAAUUUUACUUGAACCAGGGGCCAAGCUUAGGCAGUUAGGCUGCUGCCCUGGACGCAAAGCUGUUCUCCCACGCAGUGUACGCCUAAUAAAACCAAGAGUAACGGGUGGAUUCCAAAAGAAGAAGGGAAAAAAAAUGAAAGGUGAACCUAAUUUGGGUGCAAUCAAACGGUAAUUCGGUCUUUCACGAGUAUGUAAAUUUUCUUGCAAAAGCGCUCAAUUUGGAUUCACUUGCUUUCAGAAAAUGAUAGGUGAACCAAAAUAAAGACGGACU